UGUGUAAUGAAACUAAACUCAACAUAUGGUAAAAAAAUUGUAAAAUCUUCCCACUUAGUUACAUUUGGAUGUAGUAACGUAUAAGUAUUUAUAGUUAAAUUCAGGCUAAAUCAAUGGCAUGCACUGUCUACACCCAACUAUGACCAUAGGAACAAUUUUAUGAACCACAUUUUUCUUCAAACACAGGAGGUGAAAUAUUAUUGUGAUUUGACCAAAAAGCUACUUUAACUGUCGCGCCUAUUGUUUUUGCGGUCCACUUAAAGACUUUUCAGUGUGUUUUCCUGGUUUUCAACACUACAAUCAGUUUUGAUUAAACUCCAGUGCAAUAGGUGGCGGUAUGCAUAGUGCUGCCCCUCAGUAAACAGGAGAACAGGAGGUUGGGCUAUUUCCGCUUUAGAAUAUGCGCACAGAAUGGCAAGCGGACGCAUCGCUGGAAAACACAGAGAGAGAAAGCCCUAUAAAAGGGAGGCUUGUUGUUAUUUCGGAUUCUCAGACUGGCUAUGAAACAAUCCGUUUGUGAAGAGACAGAUGCUGAAACCCAUCAUAACAUUGGAGGAUUUUGGGCCAUACUUACAUUGCCUGGUGUUCUAAGGUUCACUUCUUGGCUUGAUGAAUGAAGUUUUAGCAAUCUCAACAAUGGACUCGUUUCCUUCCUUUUUGGUGUCUCCUGUACUUUCUGUUUGGAGGUCAUUGCAUGUGUCUGAUUGAGCAACUGUCAUUAUGCAUUUCUGUUUGCAGUGCUUUGCUUAAAUUUUGAACCCUUAGCAACAAUAAAAGUCUUUGGAGUUUUCCA